rnacentral:rRNA from 1 species
UACGGGGGGGGCAAGCGUUGUUCGGAAUUACUGGGCGUAAAGGGCUCGUAGGCGGCCAACUAAGUCAGACGUGAAAUCCCCAGGCUCAACCUGGGAACUGCGUCUGAUACUGGAUGGCUUGAAUCCGGGAGAGGGAUGCAGAAUUCCAGGUGUAGCGGUGAAAUGCGUAGAUAUCUGGAGGAACACCGGUGGCGAAGGCGGCAUCCUGGACCGGUAUUGACGCUGAUGCGCGAAAGCCAGGGGAGCAAACGGG